UGACAUGGUCAUACCACACUGAACCUGCCCAGUCUUGUCUGAUCUCAGAUGCUAAACACGUUCAGGCCUGGUGAGUACUUGAAUGAAAGAACAGCAAGUUGUUGCUCAC
rnacentral:rRNA from 1 species